UGGUGACAUCAGUUUUAAACGCUGGUUCCCAUGCGAUCACCAAAGUUAAGCAACAUCGAGCCUGAUCAAUACCCUAGAUGAGUGACCGCUUGCGAAUACCAGGUGCUGUAA